AAUCAGACAUAGUACGAUAAGGUUGUAUGUCUAAAGGGUAACAGCCCAGAACAAGAGUUAAUAAGGUUCCAAAAUUAUUGUUAAGUGAAAUUAAGGCAGUAUUUAUCCCAAACAGCCAGGGAAUAGGCUUAGAAGCGGCCAUUUUCUGAAGACCUCGUAACAGAGCACUGGUUUGUUUUUUAUGGAUUAUAAUCCAUAAUAAGGAUAAAAGCACCGAAAAUUUAACGGAUCUAAACUAUAUACCGAGACCUUGUCCUUAUAUAUUAAUGUAUCCGUAUUUUACAUUGUAUAUUUGGGGUAGCGGAACAUUGGGAAGUUUAUGAUUAUGCCUUUAUAAGGCAUAAGAGAUUUAUUAUAUUUUAAUAAGUAAACAAGCCAAGCGAAAAUGCUGACAUGAGUAACGAUAAAGGGGAAUACCCUCGCCUAAAGCUUAUGGAAUUUAAUUAAAGUUACGGCCUCUAAGUUUAUUAUAUAUUUAAUAAAUAAUCAACUAUUUAUUAAUAAUCCCUAANUUAAUGUUUGAUGCGAGCAGUUUAGAAGUUUAGAAUUAAGAGUUGCUUUACAAAUUGCGUAGAUAAAACAAUUAUGAUAUAAUGAUGCAGUAUCAAAAAUUAGACCCGAAACUUAGUGAUCUUACCACAAUCAGGGUUAUAAAAGUCCGAACGGGUUAUCGUUGUAAAGAUAUCCGAAGAAUUGUGGUAAGUUAGUGAAAGACAAUACUGACUAAGAUAGCUGGUUUUCUGCGAAACCUAUAUAAGUAGGUAAUUUAAAUAGAAUAUCAGAAGGUACAGAAUUGUGAUCUCAUGCAACUAGUACUCAUUUUUCCUGUUAGGAAAAACGAAUAGAGUGCUUUUUGCGGACAUUGGGGGGUCGUGAAGACUCUAUCAGUGAGUAUUUGUUCUCGGAAGGACUAGAAAUGAAUAUUGAAUAAUCAGACAUAGUACGAUAAGGUUGUAUGUCUAAAGGGAAACAGCCCAGAACAAGAGUUAAUAAGGUUCCAAAAUUAUUGUUAAGUGAAAUUAAGGCAGUAUUUAUCCCAAACAGCCAGGGAAUAGGCUUAGAAGCGGCCAUUUUCUGAAGACCUCGUAACAGAGCACUGGUUUGUUUUUUAUGGAUUAUAAUCCAUAAUAAGGAUAAAAGCACCGAAAAUUUAACGGAUCUAAACUAUAUACCGAGACCUUGUCCUUAUAUAUUAAUGUAUCCGUAUUUUACAUUGUAUAUUUGGGGUAGCGGAACAUUGGGAGGUUUAUGAUUAUGCCUUUAUAAGGCAUAAGAGAUUUAUUAUAUUUUAAUAAGUAAACAAGCCAAGCGAAAAUGCUGACAUGAGUAACGAUAAAGGGGAAUACCCUCGCCUAAAGCUUAUGGAAUUUAAUUAAAGUUACGGCCUCUAAGUUCAUUAUAUAUUUAAUAAAUAAUCAACUAUUUAUUAAUAAUCCCUAAAGGGGUAAACGAUGAGCAAAUCUAAGAUUUAUAGAAAAUAUCAUUUUUACAUAGUGACAGAUGAUCUGGAAAACUGUAUAUCUCGUUUGCUAAAUAGUAAUAAACUAAAACAGAUGAUAUGUUUAGCAGAUGUUUUACCGUACCUAAAUACUACCACAAGUAAGCAAGUAGAGUAUACGAAGGCGUUCGAGUAAACAAUCAUUAAGGAACUCGGCAAAUUGACUCACGUAACUUCGGGAGAAGGUGGGCCGUCCCUUUUGAUUAAUAUCAGAUAUGGGAUAGGAGGCACAGAAUGGUGUUGUACGACUGUUUAAUUAAAACAAAGCACGCUGCAAAGAAAUAAAUUCGAAGUAUUGGGUGUGAUCUCUGCCCGAUGGCGGCUGGUUAUCGGAUUUGCUUAGUUGACUAAUAUAAGCUAGGCUUUGAAGGAACCCCCGUUCAAUGGCGGCCUUACAGAUGAGGGUCCUAAGGUAGCGGAAUCCCCUGGCCGUUAAAUGCGGUCUUGCAUGAAUGAUGUAACGAUACAGCAGCUGUCUCAAUGAUUGGCUCGGUGAAAUUGGAAUAACUGUGCAGAUACAGUUUACCUCUAGUUGGACGAGAAGACCCUAUGCAGCUUUACUGUUGCUAGUUACCGAAUAUGAUAUAAUGAGUUUUAGUGUAUAAGGUAAUUGCUGAGAUAAAAUUGAAACACCUUUACUUCAUUUAUCAUAUUAUAUAAACCUUACCAGGGAAUAGGUUUAGUAAUAGCGAUUUCUUAAAGAUUUUAUGUUAACACAUGAGCACUGGUUGUAAUAAUUUAUAGGAACAAUUGCUAGGUGGCAGUUUAUGCGGGGCACAGAUCCCAUAAAAAGUACCUGGGAGUAUCCAAAUUCAUUUCUGUAAAAUUGCGAUAUGCAAUUAAAUAUGUACAGGCUAGAAUACUAGAAAAAAUGUACAUAUUUUUUAUUUUUAGUCUGAAGUUGGUGUUAUUUUAAUAUUUUUUUAUUUUAUUGCUAAUUCAGUUAUAUAUCCAUUUAAGUUGGAACUUUUUUUUUAUUAAGUAAGAUUUUCACUAUUUAAAAAUAUAGAUGUAAUUAAAUUGUUAUGCCUUUGUUAUCAGCAUGGUGCAAAAAAUAAGUAUACAUAAGUUAACAGUGUGUAUAUAACAAAAGGCCUGGAUUAAUGAUUUUUAUUGUUUACUAGUGUGUCCAAACCCGAUGAAGAACUAUCAAUAUCUUAUAGACAUCUGGUUAAAUGAUAAUUACUCUACUUGUCAAGUUUAACGGCUUAAUCUUGCUUUACUGUUUGACUUACACGUCUUUCAGUCGCGUAAGCGGGGCAUAUGAUCACAAGAUGCAGAAAGGAAAGGUCUUGGAUUAUUGAAAAAGCUACGCUAGGGAUAACAGGCUAAUUUUCGCCAGAGAGUUCAAAUU
rnacentral:rRNA from 1 species